GGGGAUAGAGGUCAGUUGAACCUCUUCCUUCAGGUUGAUGAGGGGAUAGAGGUCAGAUGAACCUCUUCCUUCAGGUUGAUGAGGGAUAGAGGUCAGUUGAACCUCUUCCUUCAGGUUGAUGAGGGAUAGAGGUCAGUUGAACCUCUUCCUUCAGGUUGAUGAGGGGAGAGAGGUCAGUUGAACCUCUUCCUUCAGGUUGAUGAGGGGAUAGAGGUCAGUUGAACCUCUUCCUUCAGGUUGAUGAGGGGAUAGAGGUCAGUUGAACCUCUUCCUUCAGGUUGAUGAGAGAGAUCAGUUGAACCUCUUCUUUCAGGUUGAUUAGGGGAGAGAGGUGAGUUGAACCUCUUCCUACAGGUUGAUGAGAGGUGAGAGGUCAAUUGAACCUCUUCCUUCAGGUUGAUGUGGGAUAGAGGUCAGUUGAACCUCUUCCUUCAGGUUGAUGAGAGGUGAGAGGUCAGUUGAACCUCUUCCUUCAGGUUGAUGAGGGGGUAGAGGUCAGUUGAACCUCUUCCUACAGGUUGAUGAGAGGUGAGAGGUCAAUUGAACCUCUUCCUUCAGGUUGAUGAGGGAUAGAGGUCAGUUGAACCUCUUCCUUCAGGUUGAUGAGAGGUGAGAGGUCAGUUGAACCU
ensembl:lncRNA